AGCAGGGCCCGGGAAGAUCUCAGGCGAGGAUUUGUCUCUGCUGGCAGAGGAGUGUUUGCCAGCACAGACGGGUUGUGACGUGGACACUCCAGGUUUUGGGGGGCACAGGGGGCUCCCCUGCACCCCACAGCCUCAUCCUCCCAGGCACAGCAACCUCUGAUGAAGCAGAAAUCCAAGUGGAGCUGUUUGGAUAACACAUCAUGGACAGACACCCCAGCAGAGUGACAGGAGGAGGAGGGAAAUCAGGCUCCCUUUCUUUUACAGCCUCUCCCCUCAGCAGGAUUUAACCAUGCAGAGAGUAAAACUCAUCAAUCCUCCAGGUUUAACCUUGUCUCUGUUUCAAUUCACCAGGAUAUGAAACAUCAGACUUGAGCCACUGAGUUGUAACAACCCCACUGCAAGUGUGUCACCUGCAGCUGGAGGAAAGGUGACUUUAGCACAAAGAGGGUCUGGAGGCAGCAUGUGCUGAGGAAAAACCUGUGCAGGUAAUUAAGAGUACUCACACCUCAGGUGGGGAGUGUGGAAGAAGCAGGUCGAUACAGGGGUCUUCCUUGAAUUAAAAUUUAACUUACCCUUUAUUGCAACCUACAAAAGCAAGUAAUGAGCACUAACAUUUUUAUUUCUUUUAAACUGUCAUUUAGGCUGUAGAGGGGAUAAUUACCUAUUUCCACUGUAGUAAGGUUUUAUCACCCUUAGUGAGGCAUUUUCUAAUUUAAUAUUUUUACUGUAUUAUCAUAAAACCUGUUUCUGGAAAAAAAUGAUCACGGACCACGGAGCCAUUUGCCAUAAAACAUGUGUGUGUAAGUACCUUGGCUUAAUUAUUUAUGCAUUUCUUCUGAGCUGGCUCCAGAGCCAGGGGACAGCACAGGCACUGUGUCACCUCCCCACCACGAAAACUGGGCUUUUCAGGUCAACAAUAUUGUUUUAAAAUAUGAAAUAAAAGGAGCAGCUACUCCAGGUGGUGAGCCUGUUGUGCUAAAUGCCCACUGGGCUUUCCUCCCCCUCCAAACCCCAGGUAUUGCUGCUACACACAUUUUACAGGCAAAAUCCUUGCAACAGAGACCAAGGAAACACACACACACACAGAGAGUGAAUAUUAAUUGCAACAGCACGUUUCAUAAAUCUAUAUGAAUCUUCAAAAUUCUAAACAGAUCCCCAGGAAGGUGUUUUGCCCACCAAAUGUACAAAGGGAAACCAAAUGUGUACCUGCACGUGGGAAAAGCCAGUAUUGUACCACUCUGUGUAAUUAUAGUAAUUUUUCUAAAUACAGUUCUGUGAACUAAUAGAAGAACAAUAUUAUGGGGGAAAAUUCAGUUUCUGGUGGCUUUUUUUUUUUUUUAUUAAAAUGGCAAUAGUGCUCUUCUAGUAAAAAUACCCUCCAACCAAUGUCUCUGCCUUCUCCCUUGUACCUUUUACUUCUUCUCUUCCUCUACCC